rnacentral:lncRNA from 1 species
GUUCUCGAUAAGCAUGCUAGCAUGUGUGGAAACCCUAGCUCCUUGGGAGAUCAAUUUGAUCUCAUACCUUGCUAAUUUGCUAACUCAAUUUGGUGAGCAAUUGGGUUAGAUCAUGCCACCUAGAAGUAGUCCAAAAAAGGGCACCACAUUUCAAGUUGACACCAAAAAUCAAGAGUCCUCUUGGAUGAGGACUCUUGGCUCAAAGAAAAGGGACUCAUGCGUGUGUUGGCGUGAGCAAAAGGAAGAGUCCUUUUAGCUUGAGAUUUAGAUGCAUGUGGUAGCCCAUAUCACCCUUCAUUCUCUGGUGCACAUCUCAAAGCAUGAGAUGUAUUUUUUCUAGAUUUUAUGGGGUGGAGAAAAAUUAGAAAGAAGAAGGGCUCUCACGCGUGUGUAGUGAAGUCUCGUGACUCUUCGCAUUUUGAAGAGUCCUUUUAUAGAUCAAAUACCAUUAAAUUGGAAUGCCACCUAUUAGAUAACGUUCCACAUUUAAUCAGCUUUUUUAUGGAGAUUUAUCUGAAUUUUUUCCAGAUAUAUCUGGAGAUGUAUCAAAUGCCAAAGGCACCUCUACGCACAUGCAUGGUGAUAAGCAUUCGCAUGAAGAGA